rnacentral:lncRNA from 1 species
GUGGUAGCCAUAUCUUCCAGAAUUGAAAAGGUGCGCUCCAAAUUGAAUCAACUUGCAUCACGCCGUGUGCUACUUCUUUUCCAUCAUCACGUGUUGCACCUUCUUCUCCAAAGCAAAUGAAUUGAUUUCUCCUCUCAAAAUCAUAAUCGUAUGCCAUUCAUUUUCUCCCAUCUAAUUACUUCUUCUUUAAAAGAAAAAAUUUAAUAACAAAAUAAAAUUCACCGUGCGUGAAUGCUAUUUCCCCUUUCUAAAUCAACAAGCUUCUUUCUAAAAGCCAAGAUUAAAAAAAAAACAAUUCACCGAAGAAAAAAAAAGGAUUCAGCGCUUCAUUAAAAAAAAAGAAAAGAAGGUGUGCUUAUGAAAAUAAAAGACGUAACAAUAAGCUCCCCCCGUUUUUAUCUCC